GAACACAUUGUUUCUCCUUCCACUCAUUUAAUGUCUUAAGUAUUUAUUGUGUGCCUAGGUGUGAUGCAUGAGAUUACUAGAAAUUGAAGUUCUCACACUGCCCCUUUGUCUGUCUUUAUUGCCAAAGAGAAGGAAAGAUGUGAUAAAUCAGGAGAUUUGAAAAGCCACCUGGACCUGAGGCACGGGGAUGAAGAGAGGGUCUGGCUCACCCAGGACUAUCCAACCUCAACCGUCACCCUCCGUGCUACUCAAACUGUGGUCUGUGGACUAGCAGCAUUGGCAUCACCAGCGGGUUUCUUUGGUUAAUCCUGAAUCCCAGGCAUCUCCCUAGACCUAAAGUCAGGAUGUGCAUUUUCAAAAGAUCCCCGCCCCGCAGUAAUCUGUCUGAAAUCUGGAGCCCCAAAGGCUCAGGAGCCAAGAACUAUAAGCAGAGCUGGGGGGAGUCUCAGCUGUCAUCUAAUUCAACCCCACAACAUGCAAGGUGAGGAAACUGAGGCCUAAAAAAGUUGGAUGAUUUCCCAAUUUUCCCAGUUUUUAGGAUUUCACUGUCACCUGGUUUCUGGCUCAAGAAAUCAACAGUGAUUCUAUACAGCCACACAGCCUUCCUCAGCACAAUGUACCCCUGGGAGUCACACCAUUCUCCAUCCCCUGUGCUGUGAGGUGCAGCCACAGCCCCAUGUUAUCCACAGCAAGAGUACAGAAGAGGGUGAAAAUCAACACAACUUUCCACCACUCAGAACCACAAACCAAGACAUCACAUGUGCAAGAAAAACCAUUCAGGUGGCCUGGUGGGGACCAUCCUUAUCAAGACCUUUACACAGAUUUCUACCACACCCAUAGUCUUGCCACUCAUCAAACUGUGAUAUGCAUCAUCAAAACAAAGAAAGAAGAAGAAGAAAAAAAAAAGCUUGUGAACAAGAGAUUCUCUACAGAGUAGAAUAUAAAACUCUAUUCAAGUAACUCUCUGAACUGGUUGUUUUUUAAGACUCCUCUGUAUGAAAUCCUGUUCCAGUUAGGAGUAAAUAUGAGAAGGACCAUCCCAGGCGGUUGGUGAUAAUGUGGCAUUCGUUGCAAUACUGCGUGCACAUAGAGCCUGUACUCCAAGUCAUGUGCCAGUAGAGAAGGGAGCUUUUUCCCCCCAGGGGCCAGAGUGAGGAUGCAGAAAGAGAUGGUUAAUAAUUUUCUUUUCAUUUGACAGCUUGGAAAAUCCCAGUUUGGCUUUAUCGUGCCAGCUCUUUGGUUAUAAUUUAACACCUAUUCCAAGAAAAGGAGACGCAUGAAUGUCAGCGAGCAACACAAUGCCACUUUCUUUGCCAGCCAGAACGAUCUUUUUAUGUCCUUGAUAAGCCCACAAAUAAAUUUGUCAAUUUAUUCAUAGCUGUUCUUUGGAGUCAAGAUGCAACCUCUUAUGUUCUGUAGACAUGGGUACCGCUUUCUUUACGGUCCCCCCAUCUGUUUUUCUACCACAUGGGCAUAAAGAUUUGCAGAAGCUCCUAAAUAAGAAAGUGAUUUCAAUCCUUCUGUAGUAGCUCCCUAGCCAUCUGCCAUCAUAUCCCAUGUGCACCCCGUCAUGACAACCACUUUGACUGUUUCAAGGCAAGAAUUGGGGACAGUGAUCUCCCAGACUCCGGGCAGGACUCCAUCAUGCAAAGAGGAGAAAAAAAAAAAUCGUCGCAGAGAGUGAGAUGAAGCCAGUCUCCUUUGGUGACAACGCCUUGCCUUGCAAAAGUCCCAGUGUGCUGUCAGGAAACAGACCAACCCUCCAUCAAAAGGGAGUGAAGUGACUUUAGACCUAUAGGACAAAUAUUCUGUUUUGGGAGGUCACCUGGUGUGCCUAAUAAUGCAGGGAGAAAAAAAUUCUCUUUAAUGACAUCUCAGUAGGCUCUCAUACUUUCUGGCUUUCCCAAUUGUAAGAUCUGGCAUGUUCAAAUGCUUCCUUUGUGAAGUGGUCUUUAGAUGAGAAUAGCUUUGCAUGUUCAUGUUCCCUAAUACAUCAAGAGCUGUGGGCAACCUCCCUGGGCUCCAGGCCUCUGGUAACUCUAAUUGGAGUUAUGCAAAAGCAAUUACAGUUAAUGACAGUCAUCCUGAUAUUUUCACUUCCUUUUUCUUAUGAGGCCCAGGGAUUCGGAUUCCUUUGCCUGUUCUAAAUGGUGC
rnacentral:lncRNA from 1 species